AUAAAACAGAUGGCCUCACUGAACAUGUUGGGGGAACGCACCGGGAGGGGUAUAUUACGUGAGUGUGUUCUGGCUAUCUAGUUUCAGUGCGGAUGGCACGGUAUAACGGCAUAACGGCGUCACAGGCUCCCAUUGCGAACACGCAUUCGGCCCUGAGGAGCCUCCAGGAAAGCGACGGAGGAAGGAGACUCACCGCUGUCGCUUCAGAAGUUACUCGAGCUAUCACACGCCCAACGUUAAAAAGCACGAGAAAAUUCACACCGAGGAGAGGCACUACGUGUGUCAACUGUGCUUCAGGGGAUUUUCGGAACAGAGCAACUUGUACGGGCAUUCGUCAAUCUCAGAGGAGUCGCACCUACUCGGAGUGAAAAGCCGGGCGUGUUGGUGUUGACCUUGCAUGGCGAACUGGUACUGGGAACGGGACAGAGCGAAGAGAACAACCUACUCAGUCUGCGGGAGAGCACUCGUACGGGAGGAUCAGACACAGUACCAUUCGGAUGAGGAACCAUAUGUCCAUAAUGAGUUAAAAGCAUCACCAGCGAGGAGAAGGAAGAUAAGUGCUCUACAAGCAGAUGCAGACCCAAUGACGAAUGCGUUCUACAAGUUUGAACCGCCGCGCACGCACGCCUCCAGCGCCUGCCGCCCAGGAGCCUCCAGGGAGGCACAGGUGCAGCUUCUGCGAUUACUCCAGUCCCUACAAGGCUCGCACUAGAGUCCACGAGAGAACACACACCGGGGAGAAACCCAGGAGAAGGCCAGUGUGCUCGAAAAGAUUUUCGCAAAAGGUCUCCCUGGACAAACAUCUGGUAGCGAUCCACAAGGGCCAGAGGAACUUCGCAUGCUCCGUCUGUGGGAGCGCCUUUUCCUCCAAGGACACCCUGGACAGACAUUCCAAAGAGGUGCACGAGGACCAGAGGAACUUCACAUGCUCCAUCUGCGGGUGGCCGUUCCACCGGAAGGACCAACUACGACGUCACCAGAGGGCACACCUUAAAUGAGGUGGAGCGGAUUAAGUCCGUGCGAGGGCACUGAGGCCUCUCCUCUGCAUCGAGAUGUCUUCUGCUGCUGACGUCAUUGGAAGAACUUUUCUGAUUAAGCUUCCUGUUCCUAGUACACCUUUCGUAUGGGCAUCUGUUGCAUGGUUAUUGAAGAGUACCCGUGUCACCUUUUCUGAUUAGAACAUUGAACAGUGGUUCACGGAACACGUCAGCACGAUAUUCCAUAUAUAUUUUGUGUCACCGUUUUUACAUUACUGCUUGUCACGUGCGCUCACUCGAUCUCAUCCCUGCUUUGUGCGCACAAUAUUGUGUCAGCAUCUCAAGUUUACCUCCAGGUACUUCCGGGUACGUCCGGGUACACUAAGCCUCUAGUGAACCGGACAGUAAAAUACUGAAUUAAAGAUAUUGCAUUCAAAUUCAAUGCCAUAUAUUUGCAUCUAAAUUAUAAAAAAAUAUCUGGAGCUGCGCGCAUAGCAUGAGAUGAAGCAAAAACUAACGAGUGUGAGUAAAUUUAGACAUAUACGAAAAAUUAAAACACAAAAAUACACAAAGAAAUACACAAAAAAGGAACAAGAAAAAAAAAGCAUGCAACUGCAUAGUUGCAAUAGCAUACAUUGUAGCAAAAAUAAGUGGGGAAUGGUAUAACUGUUAUCCACUAUAUGGAAAUGUUGCUUGAGUGCGCGAGGGUAUGUGGUCUCGGGGUUGAUAAUUCCGCGUAUAAUCCUGAUCCCUGCACAUUCAAGACAAUUUUUUUUAGUAUACCUGCCCUCUUAAUGCGUCGAAGUUAAUGUGGCAUUUCAGCGAGGAAGGUGCCUCAGUUAGUCUUUCUUCCAUCCCCAAGAAAGGCACCUGCCAAAAAAGGCCCCAAAAGCCCAGCAAUUGCUAAAGCUAUGUAUGAGCAAAAGCUCAUACACUCAGCUUGAAAUUGAAUUCAAAUAAUGGGUUUCACGGGAAACGGACGUAGGCAAGAUACAAUGCAUUCAUCUCGAGUUUGAUGAUUUUUUUAAAAAUUCGUUAGGGGUAGACUUGGGUGCUAUUUGCGCACGAGAAUUCGGGAAGAAAUCGGCGCUAUGAUCUCUGUUUGAUACGUCGUCGGGGAAUCUUCGAAUGAAACGAAGUGCACAGGAAGGCAAGCCGCUGCUGUGACACUGGGAGGAUAAACAAUAAUCUUCACAUUUCUGCUCGAAAUUGGGGCAGUGAAUGACUGCGGUAUUGAAACGCUUGUGCGAGCUCCACAAAAGUCUGUCCUUUUUUCUCCUGCAGCAGAGAAUAAUAAAAGGAGGACAAAUAGGUUGCCACAAAUAGCU